rnacentral:rRNA from 1 species
UACGGGGGGGGGCAAGCGUUGUUCGGAAUUACUGGGCGUAAAGGGCUCGUAGGCGGCCAACUAAGUCGGACGUGAAAUCCCCAGGCUCAACCUGGGAACUGCGUCCGAUACUGGAUGGCUUGAAUCCGGGAGAGGGAUGCAGAAUUCCAGGUGUAGCGGUGAAAUGCGUAGAUAUCGAGAGGAACACCGGUGGCGAAGGCGAGUCCCUGGACAACACCUGACACUGAGGCACGAAAGCUAGGGGAGCAAACAGG